GGUCUCUUCCCGAGGAUCCGCUUUACUCGUACUAGAAACUCUGACCUCGAAUGCAGUUCCAGAAGCAGAACCCUGUAGGGGGUUUCAGGCGGCCAAGAAGGGAAGUGGUUCUCCUAAGACCGUCCCGGCUUCAGUCCACGGCGCUCACUAAAUGCCUCCCACGCCAGACGAGGUCCCCCGUCCCCGGAGCUCGCGUCCCAGAGAGAUGAAAACUCACUAUGCUGCCCAGACUCGUCUCGAACUCCUGGGUGUCACGCGUGUCCGUAUAGAAGACCACCUAAACAGGCUUUGUGUUCACGUGUUGAAAUCCUAACUCCAAAUAUGAUGAUAGGAGGAGAUGGGGCCUUCGGGAGGUGAUGAGGUCAUGAGGGUGGAAUCCUCAUGAAUGGUCUCAACGCCCUUAGAAAAGAGACCCCAGAGACCUCGCUCCCGCUUUCUACUGUGGGAGAAUGCAGCAAGAAGUCAGCCGUCUAUGAACAAGGAAGCAGGUCCUCUCCAGGCACUGAAUGUACCAGUGCCUUGAUCUUGGACUUCCCAGCCUCCAGAACUAUGACAAUAAAUUCUGUUGUUUAAGCU
rnacentral:lncRNA from 1 species